rnacentral:lncRNA from 1 species
UAGUUGGACUUUUGAGUAAAACUGUGAAUUACACAUGUAUAUAUGCGCAUUCAUUGUUGUUUUCUCUCAGUAGUGGAAAAUUGAUUUCAAUGUCACAUGGACUCAACUACGAGGGUGUCCAUAAAGGACAAUUCAAUUAGUGCUAAGGACACACCCAUAUACCCCACUCCUACAUGUGUGUGUGUGUAUGUAUAUAUAUCUAACCCCGGAGGGCCAACUUGUUUGGCAUGAGAGUUUACAGCUAUCUCAAGAUGAUCUGGUGCCUGUAAGAAAGUGGGUCAUGAAGUUGUCGUCUGAUCAGAAAAUUAGGGUUUUGGGUCCCCCCAUGCAAAGGAAUAAUAUUUUUCUUCAAUUAG